GAUCAGUGCCGUGUCCACGCCCAGGAUCCGAACUGGUGAAACCCUGGGCCUCCGACGCAAAGUGCACGAACUUAACCACUCGGUCACUCAGCCGGCCCCUCACUUUCCUGAUGGUGUGUUUUGAGAAGCCUGAGCUUAAAUCUGUAAGACUCUGCUGGAGAAGAUGUUGUCAAAAUCACCAAAAAUCUCCAUAUUGCUGAAUCAAAUGGAUUUUUCUUCGUUCUCCCUUGCUUGACCUAUUAUCAGCAUUCAGCACAGUUGCUUGUUCUGAAAUAUCAUGAGAAGAGCUAUGAACACAGGCAGACCGCUGAAGUAUCGUUUAGCACACACAGUCUUCUGAAAGAUAUCACUAACGUCCCCACGGUCAGGGUCGUUUUGGACUGCUUUG